rnacentral:tRNA from 1 species
GGGUUGCUAACUCAACGGUAGAGUACUCGGCUUUUAAGCAUCCGACUAGUUCCGGGUUCGAAUCCCGGGCAACCCA